AACGAACGCUGGCGGCAGGCCUAACACAUGCAAGUCGAACGCUCCGCAAGGGGAGUGGCGCGCGGGUGAGUAACACGUGGGAACCUACCUUCUGGUACGGAACAACCAAGGGAAACUUUGGCUAAGACCGUAUACGACCUCCGGGUGAAAGAUUGAUCGCCGGAAGAGGGGCCCGCGUCCGAUUAGGUAGUUGGUGAGGUAACGGCUCACCAAGCCUUCGAUCGGUAGCUGGUCUGAGAGGAUGACCAGCCACACUGGGACUGAGACACGGCCCAGACUCCUACGGGAGGCAGCAGUGGGGAAUAUUGGACAAUGGGCGGCAAGCCUGAUCCAGCCAUGCCGCGU
rnacentral:rRNA from 1 species